GCAGUCGUGUCCGAGUGGUUAAGGAGAUUGACUAGAAAUCAAUUGGGCUCUGCCCGCACAGGUUCGAAUACUGUCGACUGCG
rnacentral:tRNA from 1 species